rnacentral:lncRNA from 1 species
UAAUGCAGUUAUAUUGAAUGAGACUUGAUUAAGUAAAUUGAAUAUGCUUGCAACUAAAGGAUGCGCGGAUAAGAGUUAAGCAAGCAAUUUAUCUAAGUAAGUAAGUGAGUGAGGAAGUUAGAUAACAAAGAAGCAUCACAGACACAACAAAAGUAUAGUGGUUCGGUGCACCCCAGCACCUACAUCCACUCCCCAAGACCUCUUGGGAAUUUCACUAUGAUCCCUCAGAUUACAGCCGGUUGUUUUACAAGCUCACAACCUAACUUGUUGUUUUCACGAGAUCACAACGAACUCGGUCGGUUUUCACAAGCUCACCGACUAGAACCAACCGAUUGUUUUUCCGGGUUCACAAUCAAAUCCAGUUGGUUUUCCCCGGUUCACCAACCACAACCUUUACACCGUUGAUUUUUCUUUUGGCUCACCAACAAACCUUAACCC